rnacentral:rRNA from 1 species
UUUUUCUUAUUCUUAGUGGCGGACGGGUGAGUAACGCGUGAGCAACCUGCCUUUCAGUGGGGGAUAACGUCUGGAAACGGACGCUAAUACCGCAUGACACAUGACUGUGGCAUCACAGACAUGUCAAAGGAGCAAUUCGCUGAAAGAUGGGCUCGCGUAUGAUUAGAUAGUUGGUGAGGUAACGGCCCACCAAGUCGACGAUCAUUAGCCGGACUGAGAGGUUGAACGGCCACAUUGGGACUGAGACACGGCCCAGACUCC